UACAGAGGGUGCAAGCGUUGUUCGGAAUUAUUGGGCGUAAAGGGCGCGUAGGCGGUGCGGUAAGUCUGUAGUGAAAUCUCUGGGCUCAACUCAGAGUCUGCUGCAGAAACUGCCGUGCUUGAGUGUGGGAGAGGUGAGUGGAAUUCCCGGUGUAGCGGUGAAAUGCGUAGAUAUCAGGAGGAACACCGGCGGCGAAGGCGGCCCUCUGGACCGUUGCUGACGCUGAGACGCGAAAGCGUGGGGAGCAAACAGG
rnacentral:rRNA from 1 species